UGGAGCUAGAAGUGAGAUUAC
rnacentral:siRNA from 1 species